rnacentral:tRNA from 1 species
AAGUAAUGAAGUAAAAUUUUACAUUUAGUUUCGGCCUAAAAUUAGAGAGUAAUUCUCCUUACUUG